rnacentral:rRNA from 1 species
CCUCAGUAACGGCGAGUGAAGCGGCAACAGCUCAAAUUUGAAAUCUGGCCGCCCCGCGGUCCGAGUUGUAAUUUGUAGAGGAUGCUUCGGGUGCGGCGCCGGUCUAAGUUCCUUGGAACAGGACGUCAUAGAGGGUGAGAAUCCCGUAUGUGACCGGUGACCCAGCCCGUGUGAAGCUCCUUCGACGAGUCGAGUUGUUUGGGAAUGCAGCUCUAAAUGGGUGGUAAAUUUCAUCUAAAGCUAAAUACCGGCCAGAGACCGAUAGCGCACAAGUAGAGUGAUCGAAAGAUGAAAAGCACUUUGGAAAGAGAGUUAAAAAGUACGUGAAAUUGUUGAAAGGGAAGCGCUUGCGACCAGACUUGCUCGUGGGUGAUCAGCCGUCCUUCUGGGCGGUGCACUCGCCCGCGAUCAGGCCAGCAUCGGUUCGGGCGGUUGGAUAAAGGCCCCGGGAAUGUGACUCCCUCCGGGGAGUGUUAUAGCCCGGGGCGCAAUGCGGCCAGCCCGGACCGAGGACCGCGCUUCGGCUAGGAUGCUGGCGUAAUGGUUGUAAGCGACCCGUCUUGAAACACGGACCAAGGAGUCUAACAUCUAUGCGAGUGUUUGGGUGUCAAACCCAUGCGCGCAAUGAAAGUGAACGGAGGUGGGAACCCUCAAGGGUGCACCAUCGACCGAUCCUGAUGUCUUCGGAUGGAUUUGAGUAGGAGCAUAGCUGUUGGGACCCGAAAGAUGGUGAACUAUGCCUGAAUAGGGUGAAGCCAGAGGAAACUCUGGUGGAGGCUCGCAGCGGUUCUGACGUGCAAAUCGAUCGUCAAAUUUGGGUAUAGGGGCGAAAG